rnacentral:lncRNA from 1 species
GGAUACUCCGCUGCACCACCAGCCGUACGGCACUGUGUGGAGACUGUCUGACUGUCGUCUCGGAAAGGUCUAUUUGUGGGGGUUUUUUUAAGCAAGUCUGCAUGGAAAUGUGUCACCAAUAGCCAGCUGUUUCCAAACAGUUCAGCAUUGCUGGGGUAUUUUUACUGGAUGCAGGCGGAGGGACUGAUCUUGGAAGGAAACUUCAUGUGAAGUCCCCAGCCCGUUUGCAGAUUCAUGUGCUGGUCAAUUUCUGGAUGAGAUUUCAGCUUUCUCAGUGCAGGGAUCAGCUCUGUCUCCUCACCGGCACACAGUCUCCACAAGGAUGCUCGAUGGCACCUCUCCAUUCCUGCAGCCCCCCUGAGUUUGAUCACUGCUCUUGCUGCUCCCAAAAAUCACUGGCAUCUCUGCAACACAAGAAAUUUGAUGUUGGAGAUGUGACACAGAUGGGUAAAGAAAGGCAAGCAAAGGGGAAGCUGCGUCCUUUCCAUAUUCAGCUGAAUCCAUCUUCUCUGGGGCU